UCUCAUACGGACUCUGAGUGUGCCUCCUGUUUGUCCAACGUAUUGCUUGUGACAUCUGGGUACAUCACACGUAAUGACAUAAAUUAUGUUUGUUGAUGCGCAUGUCAUUCGUCCAUUUAUUGUUGUGUUGUUGUUUUGGAAAUAUAGUGGGUAUGACUUGCCCGUGGUGGUGCUGCGGAUGGCAGAACAAAUCGUGAUCUGAUGGCAUAUUCCGCAUUGUGUGUGGUUGCAAGUUGUCGUGACUGGCGUAAUGGCGAGUCUGGGUACUGGGACGUCGCUGUUUUUUACGUCUUUUAUUGGCAAUCAUUGGUGGGUGACAUCCAAGUAUUGAUUCGAGUUGGGGGUCGCUGUCGAUCAUGAUUUGCCAUUGUCUGUGGAUCAGUUGUUUGAUGUUUGGGAACCAGGAGAUAUGAAGUCAUUUGAGUCCCGGAUGUAACUGUUCUGUGUGAGUGCAAUUGGUUUGAGAAGAUAGUCUACGAAUUGAGAAAUGGCUUCAGUCGGUCCUGAGCAACCAGACACGAUUGGUCGAUAUGCAACUGGAGUUUUGUGUAUUUUACUGAGAAAAUAGAGUUGUUGUGUUCGUACUUUAGAUGGUUUAAGUUGGAAAAGGAAUUGUAGUGUC